AUGGUGGCUCGCUGCCAAGGAGACGACCCCAAACCACUCCGCAAGGGACUCACCACCAUUGCGCUGUUGACAGGAUGGAUGAUCUGGAAGCAGCGCCACGCUUGUGUCUUCGAUGGAGAUCGACCAUCUGUCCCCCUCUUGACAGAGAAAAUUAGAGCGGAAGCCGCCCUCUGGGCUCGGGCCGGGGCCUCAGGCCUUCGGCUGGUACUCCCAGCCACCUGGGACGUCCAUUAA
rnacentral:rRNA from 1 species